CGGAGAUGAUAGGGUUGCGGUGGUGACGCUGGCUCUGGUGUCGACGGUGGCACUGGAGGAGGAGAGAGGGUGAGGUUAAGCAUGGGAGAUUGGAGAAUGAUGGUUUUUGGUGGAGAGGCAUGUAUGAUGAAUGUAGGGUGUUAACGUGGUGGAAGAUGAUGAUGAUGAUAUAUGAGUUUGAUGGCUCUCUCUCUCUCUCUCUCUCCCACUCUUCCCAACCUGGGGAGAUGGAGAACAACUACAAAGAUUUAGGUUUUGAAAGAUAUCAAACCUGGAGGAGGGUGGCAGAUAGAGAGAGAGCUUUUUUUCUUCUUUCUUUUCUCUUUUUUGGGUGCGAGGAAGGGUGGCUUUGUGGUGUAAUGAGAAGGAUCCUUUAAUUUCGGUCUCGUGUGGUUGGUUAUAAAGGACAAC
rnacentral:lncRNA from 1 species